UUGGAUCACCUCCUAACAGGGAGACAAACAACGAUUUUGAUGUCUGAGUUAUUUAUUCUUAGGCCAAAAUCCUGUCACCUUAGGUCGAUCGGUACCUCAACUUUGAAGCUAAGAGAGUUCCAGCAAUGGUUGUCUGCUUAGUGUAGAUUUUUAGUUCCUAAACUUUGUCUAGUUCACAACCCAUUAGGGAUGAGACUCCUGGGCCAUUAGCUCAGGUGGUUAGAGCGCACCCCUGAUAAGGGUGAGGUCCCUGGUUCAAGUCCAGGAUGGCCCAUUCGGUGUAGGGGGUUUAGCUCAGUUGGUAGAGCGCCUGCUUUGCAAGCAGGAUGUCAGGAGUUCGAGUCUCCUAACCUCCACUGACUACCAAAAUCCCCAUCUCCAAAACCUGGAGUAUGAACUCGUAUGGAUUGUGAUUUAGAUUUGUCCGCUAGCUGAUCCUAGCUUCUUGUCAUUUUAAGGCAUGGAAAUAAUUCCAUGAUUUGAUUGAUAGGAUGCUGGGCUCGAUGCAAUGUAUUGAGAGAUCAAUGCAUUGUUUUGAUGUCUAGCCGAACCUUGACAACUGCAUAGUUUAAGUCUGGAAAGAAUAAAGCAUCUUUAUGGAUGCAUCAUUUUUUCGUGUUAAUGCAUGAAGGAGUGAUGUUAAUUCUAAAGCAAGAGCCGAGACUCCAGUAUGUUCUUUCAAAUGUCUCGAGCAUUUGAGAGUUUGAUUUUAAUUUCUAAUUUUAGAUUCUAAUUUUAGAAAUUAGAAGAAUCUGUUUCAACGACAGCAAGCGUGCUGGAGAUACAUUGGUCAAGCUACAAAGGGCUCACGGCGGAUACCUUGGCACACAGAGGCGAUGAAGGA
rnacentral:tRNA from 1 species